CGAGGGGAGUGAAAAAGAACCUGAAACCGUGUACGUACAAGCAGUGGGAGCACAGGUUUACCUGUGUGACUGCGUACCUUUUGUAUAAUGGGUCAGCGACUUAUAUUCUGUAGCAAGGUUAACCGAAUAGGGGAGCCGGAGGGAAACCGAGUCUUAACCGGGCGUUAAGUUGCAGGGUAUAGACCCGAAACCCGGUGAUCUAGCCAUGGGCAGGUUGAAGGUUGGGUAACACUAACUGGAGGACCGAACCGACUAAUGUUGAAAAAUUAGCGGAUGACCUGUGGCUGGGGGUGAAAGGCCAAUCAAACCGGGAGAUAGCUGGUUCUCCCCGAAAGCUAUUUAGGUAGCGCCUCGUGAAUUCAUCUCCGGGGGUAGAGCACUGUUUCGGCUAGGGGGCCAUCCCGGCUUACCAACCCGAUGCAAACUGCGAAUACCGGAGAAUGUUAUCACGGGAGACACACGGCGGGUGCUAACGUCCGUCGUGAAGAGGGAAACAACCCAGACCGCCAGCUAAGGUCCCAAAGUCAUGGUUAAGUGGGAAACGAUGUGGGAAGGCCCAGACAGCCAGGAUGUUGGCUUAGAAGCAGCCAUCAUUUAAAGAAAGCGUAAUAGCUCACUGGUCGAGUCGGCCUGCGCGGAAGAUGUAACGGGGCUAAACCAUGCACCGAAGCUGCGGCAGCGACGCUGAUGCGUUGUUGGGUAGGGGAGCGUUCUGUAAGCCUGCGAAGGUGGCCUGUGAGGGUUGCUGGAGGUAUCAGAAGUGCGAAUGCUGACAUAAGUAACGAUAAAGCGGGUGAAAAGCCCGCUCGCCGGAAGACCAAGGGUUCCUGUCCAACGUUAAUCGGGGCAGGGUGAGUCGACCCCUAAGGCGAGGCCGAAAGGCGUAGUCGAUGGGAAACGGGUUAAUAUUCCCGUACUUGGUGUUACUGCGAAGGGGGGACGGAGAAGGCUAUGUUGGCCGGGCGACGGUUGUCCCGGUUUAAGCGUGUAGGUGUGUGUUCCAGGUAAAUCCGGUUCACUUUAACACUGAGGCGUGACGACGAGGCACUACGGUGCUGAAGCAACAAAUGCCCUGCUUCCAGGAAAAGCCUCUAAGCAUCAGGUAACAUCAAAUCGUACCCCAAACCGACACAGGUGGUCAGGUAGAGAAUACCAAGGCGCUUGAGAGAACUCGGGUGAAGGAACUAGGCAAAAUGGUGCCGUAACUUCGGGAGAAGGCACGCUGACACGUAGGUGAAGUGAUUUACUCAUGGAGCUGAAGUCAGUCGAAGAUACCAGCUGGCUGCAACUGUUUAUUAAAAACACAGCACUGUGCAAACACGAAAGUGGACGUAUACGGUGUGACGCCUGCCCGGUGCCGGAAGGUUAAUUGAUGGGGUCAGCGCAAGCGAAGCUCCUGAUCGAAGCCCCGGUAAACGGCGGCCGUAACUAUAACGGUCCUAAGGUAGCGAAAUUCCUUGUCGGGUAAGUUCCGACCUGCACGAAUGGCGUAAUGAUGGCCAGGCUGUCUCCACCCGAGACUCAGUGAAAUUGAACUCGCUGUGAAGAUGCAGUGUACCCGCGGCAAGACGGAAAGACCCCGUGAACCUUUACUAUAGCUUGACACUGAACAUUGAGCCUUGAUGUGUAGGAUAGG
rnacentral:rRNA from 1 species